UCUCCUCCCUCCUCCUUCAAUUAAUCAUCGUCUCUAUGAUCACUCACGCUUCAGCUUCUCCUAUAUUCUAUAUACAAGCUUUUUUUUUUUUGGUUCUGCGACACUGGUCUGUGGUCUCAACUUCACCCGCCUUCGUCUCCAUGGACGGAUCGAAGGAAACGUCAACAAGCUCUGUGAUCAAUUCAAGAAAUCUUCUCGGAUAAAAGUUGAAUCUAGAAAUUCCAACACGAAGAAGAGAAGAUCUUCGCCGUUCUUUUUUGUUACAGAUCUAAAUCAUUUUUAAUUCUUUGGAUCUCUAUCUUCCUCAAUCACCACCACCACCACACGACGACCACCCGUUUGUUUUCGUCGUCCCAGCAUCACCACCCCCACCACCACACGACCGUUCGUUCGCCGUCCCAGCAUCACCACCACCACCACCACACAACCACGGGGUGGAGGAAGCAAGGCAAGGCAGGUAUGGCGGCUGGAGGAGGAAGAUGACGGCUUCAGAUUCAGGAAGAGGAAGCUGACGGCGAGUUAGUGAAGAGGCGACGAGAUUAGGUCUAGAUGGAUGUGACGUUUGCCUCCUCUGUGCAACUUGCCUUUCAAAUCCCAGGAUGAAGAAGAAGAAUCGUGGCUGGAUACUGAUGAAGGUCAUGGAAAAACACAAAGACGAAGGUGGUGGUGCGGCCGGUAGAUGAAGAAGACAACGAAGUGGUGGUGUGUUUAGUUAGUAAUUAGGUUAAAGCCUGGUUUAGUUUUUGGUUUAUUUAGUUUGUUGGUUUAUUAUUUAAUUAGAUUUUUUUGUAUUUUUGUAAACUAAUUUAAUUAUAAAUAAAUUUAAGUAAUUAAGAAAAUUUGAUUCUAUGAAUAAUUUUAAAUUUUAAUUAAGUUUUUAUUUUUAAAUAAUUAAAUAAAAAAUAAAAAAUAAUUCUAAAAUAAAUAAUUAUAAAAUAAAUAAUUGAUCUAAGGUAUGGCCGACAUAAAUGAUCGACAUUGAGAUUUCAUCUUUUAUGAUUUUUACUAUUCUAAUGUUUCAAUAUAAUUUGAAUAUUCUCUUUUUUUUUAUAAUAUAAUGGUUUAAAAGUAUUUUUUUGUUUCACUAUAUAAAUUGUUUUAAUAUUUCAAUGUAACUUUAUAUUUAUUAGAUAUUGUGUGGCCAAUUAAAUUAUGUAAAUUAGUGUGUAAUUGAUUAAAUUUAUAUAUUAAAUGACAGUUUUCUAAAGUAAUAACUUUAAAAUAUUACAGAUUUUAACUAAAACUGAUUACAUUUUGAAACAUAUAGAGUAAUCUAUAAACUAACUUUAUAUAGAUAUGAGGACAAAAUUGUAAAGUGAUCUCAACUUGAGUUUCUUUCAUUCUGUGUAUUCCUAAUUGGAAAUAGAUAAUCAACAUCUAAUAUUAUGUUACUCUCACUAUAUUAGAAAUGGUCGAACCGUAAACCAAUUAAGAAUGAUGUAAGGAAGUUAUAAAGAUGUAUUUUCAGUUAUCAAAUCAAUUGACAACAACUUCAUUAUGUCCAGCGUAGUACAACAUAUAAGAGUUUUCAUACCUUCUAAUAUUAUAAUAUCUCAAUAUAUUACUAGCUAAAUCAGUUUUCUCUAACACAAAUACUCACUCCAUUCUAGGAGUUUAAGCUUUUCUAUCUGAUGAUAUUUGUAGUUUGAUCUCAAAAAAAAAGAAACGGUCGAAUUGUACAUUGUAAUUGGAGAAAGAAAACAAACAAAAAUCAACCGAAGAAUUUUAAGGUAUAUGAAACAAAAAUUAGAAAUAGCAAUUCUAUGCAAUUGAAGAAUAAGGCAAUGAAAUUGUAAAAAUACAAAAUAAAACAAAAAAAUAUACACAGAAAGAAA